AAAGAUUUAGUUUAAAUAAAACUUAAAGUCGUCAAUUUUAAAUUGCUUAAUAAGCAAUCUUUU
rnacentral:tRNA from 1 species